rnacentral:rRNA from 1 species
UACGUAGGGUGCGAGCGUUAAUCGGAAUUACUGGGCGUAAAGCGUGCGCAGGCGGCUUUGCAAGACAGAUGUGAAAUCCCGGGGCUCAACCUGGGAACUGCUUUCAAAACUGCUGAGCUAGAGUACGGUAGAGGGUGGUGGAAUUUCCUGUGUAGCGGUGAAAUGCGUAGAGAUGAGGAGGAACACCAAUGGCGAAGGCAAUCCCCUGGGCCUGUACUGACGCUCAUGCGCGAAAGCGUGGGGAGCAAACAGG